rnacentral:lncRNA from 1 species
GACGGGUAAGGAUGUGGCACGGAUGGGGGCAACCUAAGACAGAUGCUGAUCCUGGAGCUACUAGUAAAACAAAAAGGGGGAGAUGCGGGAAGUGGAUGCGGCUGCAUGGGCCAAGAUGUUUACUGCCUUGCCUGAGCAUGCGCAGUGAGGCUGCACACGUGGGCUGUCUGCCAGGAUGGACUGUUCAUCGCGAUCCAGACCUGUCAGCCUAUCUGUGACAGACCUGAGCUCGUGCCUGGAGUGUGUGUGAAUUCUGAUUGGAUGAGGUGGAGCUAGAUGAGGUCAGUCGGUGUGAGGAUAGGAAUUGGUUGUUGUUGUCCUUGCCAAAGUGGAGAGAGCUGUAAGAAAAAAGGCCACAAGUAAAAGAAGAAGCUGUUUCAUGAACCCGACUUGGUGUCCAUGUUGUUCUUGUCUCUGUGGGUCAGAGACUGCUGCAGUUAGCACUAGUCUGCCAGCUCCACACUUGGUGCUUGGAGCCAUUUUGUCAGUGCUGGUUGCUAGGCUGGCCACUUAUUCAGGAAAUUCUCAGGAAAACAGGUCUAGCCUCUCAGCAGGUUGCAGAAGAGCAGGGCAAUUGUCACUUCAGAGAGGAGCCAGUCAGAAGAAGCCAGUCAAGUUGGAAAGCUGCACCGCAGGUGGCCCCACCUCAGUGGCAGCCUGGUCUAUACAAGCCUGCUUCAGGAUGGAGGAGCCUACACAUAAGCCCAAAUCAGUGAGAGAGAGACUGGGCUUGGCAUGGGCUUUUAAAACAUCAAAACCAGCCAGGCAGUUCUGGUACACAUCUUUGGUCCCAGCAACUCAUAGGGCAGAGACAAGUGAAUCUUCAAGUUCAAGGCCAGACUGGUCUACAGAGUGAGUUCCAGGACAGCCUAAGACUACACAGAGAAACCCUAUCU